UCCCUAGUGGCUCAGACAGUAAAGUGUCUGCCUGCAGUGCUGGAGACCCGGGUUUGAUCCCUGGCUCGGGAA
rnacentral:tRNA from 1 species